rfam:Candidatus Staskawiczbacteria bacterium RIFCSPHIGHO2_01_FTLL_34_27 rifcsphigho2_01_scaffold_53439, whole genome shotgun sequence.
GCCUCCAUGGUGAAAUGGACAUCAUUACUGCCUUCGAAGCAGUCGUUGGGAGUUCGAAUCUCUCUGGAGGCA